UACGUAGGGUGCGAGCGUUAAUCGGAAUUACUGGGCGUAAAGCGUGCGCAGGCGGUUUUGUAAGCCAGAUGUGAAAGCCCCGGGCUUAACCUGGGAAUGGCAUUUGGGACUGCAAGGCUGGAGUGUGGCAGAGGAGACUGGAAUUCCUGGUGUAGCAGUGAAAUGCGUAGAUAUCAGGAGGAAUACCGAUGGCGAAGGCAGGUCUCUGAGCUGACACUGACGCUCAUGCACGAAAGCGUGGGGAGCAAACAGG
rnacentral:rRNA from 1 species